rnacentral:rRNA from 1 species
GACGAACGCUGGCGGCGUGCUUAACACAUGCAAGUCGAACGGUGAAGCGCCUUCCUUUUUGGUGGGUGUGGAUGAGUGGCGAACGGGUGAGUAACACGUGAGUAACCUGCCCCCUUCUUCUGGAUAACCGCAUGAAAGUGUGGCUAAUACGGGAUAUUCUGGGUCUGUCGCAUGAUGGGUCUGGGAAAGAUAUUGUUUCGGUGGGGGAUGGGCUCGCGGCCUAUCAGCUUGUUGGUGGGGUGGUGGCCUACCAAGGCGGUGACGGGUAGCCGGCCUGAGAGAGUGGACGGUCACACGGGGACUGAGACACGGCACAGACUCAUAAGGGAGGCAGCAGUGGGGAAUAUUGCACAAUGGGCGCAAGCCUGAUGCAGCGACGCCGCGUGAGGGAUGGAGGCCUUCGGGUUGUGAACCUCUUUCGCCAGUGAAGCAGGCCUGCCUCGUUUGUGGGUGGGUUGACGGUAGCUGGAGAAGAAGCGCCGGCUAACUACGUG